rnacentral:rRNA from 1 species
GACGAACGCUGGCGGCGUGCCUAAUACAUGCAAGUAGAACGCUGAAGGAGGAGCUUGCUCUUCUGGAUGAGUUGCGAACGGGUGAGUAACGCGUAGGUAACCUGCCUGGUAGCGGGGGAUAACUAUUGGAAACGAUAGCUAAUACCGCAUAAGAGUAGAUGUUGCAUGACAUUUGCUUAAAAGGUGCAAUUGCAUCACUACCAGAUGGACCUGCGUUGUAUUAGCUAGUUGGUGGGGUAACGGCUCACCAAGGCGACGAUACAUAGCCGACCUGAGAGGGUGAUCGGCCACACUGGGACUGAGACACGGCCCAGACUCCUACGGGAGGCAGCAGUAGGGAAUCUUCGGCAAUGGACGGAAGUCUGACCGAGCAACGCCGCGUGAGUGAAGAAGGUUUUCGGAUCGUAAAGCUCUGUUGUAAGAGAAGAACGAGUGUGAGAGUGGGAAGUUCACACUGUGAC